AGGAAGGAGACUCCACGCCGGGAGUGCAGCCCACAGCUGUAGCUCCUGGCCGCCGCCUGCCCUGGAAAGCGAGACUGGUGGGUCUCGCUGCAGCCCCGCCCCUCGUCCUACUCUUCCCAAAAAGUGAGGGCAUGCUUUCCGCCACUUUUGUGACUCCGCGACUUAGCGAGUCAGAGACGAUCAUCAGCGACACCUCCCAGGUCCAGCCUCCAUUCCCGCCCCAUUUUACAUGGAGGAAACUCAGAUCUAAUGUGGUGGAAGUCACAAAGCCGGUCAGAGGCAGAAGUGGAACCCGGUGCUCCAGAACUGCCAUCGCUGCCUGCGUUCUCGCUGGGAUUUCAGAGUGCAGCAGCAAAACGUUCUCAGUUGGCGCUUUGGUUUCGUAGGCCACUUGACCAUUACAAGAAAGAAGCUUGUGCUUGGAACUUGUUUUAAAUCACCAAAACUGGUUUAGCAAAUAUGUUGCAUUUCAUGAUAUUCUGGGGGGGGGGGCGGGGAGAUAAUACAAUGGUCUGGGGUAGAGCAGUGUGCAAUUAGAUAUUACAGAGCAAUAGGGAAUAAUUUUAAUUUGUUAAACUGUGUUUAACUUUCAUUAUAUCUAGCAUUCUUCAACAAACACCGGGAUCUUUUCCCCAACAGUACUCAGAAGUAAAUUUAGUAAAUGAAAUAUACCCAUUUUAGAUCGGGAGAAACAGGCACGAGAAUUCACUGAAGUCAUGGGGUAAUUAUGGACACCCCAUUAUUAGCAGGCAGCAAGAUUCUCCUAAUAGCACCUUUAAGUUAGGAUAUUUGGGGAGAGGCUAUCAUUUUUCAGUGAUGUGCAGAAACGGUUCCAGGAAC
rnacentral:lncRNA from 10 species